CACAAGGGGCAGGACCACCUAACACGUGUGCCCAACCCCCAUUUCCAUCCUCUAAACACACACACUCUUCCUCACACACUCUCUUUCUCUUUGACUUUUUUUCCAGUGUCUCUCAGAGCUGUGUGUGUGCUGCUCCUGCUCCCUCUCUCUCUCUCUUUCUCUCUCUCUCUAUUCAUCUCCACUGUGUGUGAGAUAACGUCUGCCUCUGAGACCAGUCUCAGGAGUUCCAAGAGCAUUCAGUGAGUUUCAUUCAGAAAUCUGAAGACAUCAUGAAGUUUGAACUGCUGCUGCUGAUUGCCCUAGUUGGGUCUUUUUGUACCAUCACACAUGCAAGUACUAUUGUGGUACCCACAGACGUGGUGCUGGCACAAGUGACAGGGGCCUUUGGGCCCACUGAGGCUGCAGAGACAUUAAAGGAGGUGGAGGAACCUGUCACUGAAGCACCAGCACCAGCUGCUACUGAAGCUGCUGUGGUGGAAGCAGAGACACCAUCUGCUCAUACUAAAGUUCCUGUAGUGGAAGCAGAGACACCAUCAGCUCAUACUAAAGUUCCUGUGGUGGAAGCAGAGACACCAUCAGUUCAUACUGAAGUUCCUGUGAAGGAAACAGAGGCACCAUCAGUUCAUACUACAGCUCAGACGGCGCAAGCAGAAACAACAGAAGGAGUUACGGAAGCUCCUGCCAAAAACACCGAAACAACUGUGGAGGCAGAGGAUGCUGCAGCUACAGAAGCUACACCUGAAGUUAUUGAGGUAGCAGAUGAAACUGAAGCUCCAAAAACAGGGCUGUCAAUCACAGAGACAGUAUUAAACGCAGAGGCAGACCAAGUGAUCGAAACAGAGGGGGAUGAGGUGGAAGUGGAGGACUCAGAGGGUAUGAGCACGGGUCAAGUGGUGGGCAUUGUGUUUGGUGCACUGGUCGCUGUGGUCAUCAUCAUUGCAGUGAUAGUCGUGGUGGUCAGGAGGAUGGGACAAUACUCGACUGGAAAGAAACAAAAGCCUCAAAAACAACAUGGCCUCUCAUUCUCUGUAAUAUCACCAAGCGUUGAUCAAUUAUUUAUUAAUAUAACCUACUUAUAAUUCUAAUACGGAUAAAAUGAUGUAACACUAUGCUGCAACUCCUAUGUUCCCUACACCAUUUUCACUAUUAUGAGAAGAUUAUACACACACGCACGCGCAUACACACACACACACACACACACACACACACACACACACACACAGUGCACUUGUGGUAUUCUACUUCUGUAUGUCUACAUCUAAUGUUUGAUACAGUCUAAUCUUAGUCAUAUGUAGUCUGUUUUUAAAAAUUACAAACAAGCCUAUGGUAAAGACUAUGUGCUAACUAGGUAAAUUGUCAUUAGUUAGCCAUUUUCAUCAGCUGCCUAACAACAGGGUUCUCACAACUUUAAUCACUUGAAUAGCAGACAUAUUGUGUUCCCCAAAAGUGCUGUGAUUAGAAUGUCAUUAUGCACCAGACUGCAGCCAUUAGCCUGUUUUGUGUAAAGAGAGAGAGAGAGAGAGAGAGAGAGAGAGAGAGAGAGAGAGAGAGAGAGAGAGAGAGCAAACCCAGGGCACUUGGAGUGGCAACAUAAAGUGUCAUCAACUUAUACAAGACAUUUGUGUUACUAACAAUAAUUCAACAGCAAAGAUAAAUGUGGAUUUAAUGCCAACAACAUUAAUAUAACAUUGAUAUCAAAGCAUUAAUUACCCUAGAUGAUCAAUGUCCAAAACUUUACAGUAAUCAUGUCCUGCUCUUAUUCCCAACCCCUCCCCCCCAUCCCACCCCGAUUAAUCUUGAAUUCCCACAUAAUUCUGUCAAGGUAAGGGGAUGUGGGGAAGUUCGUGUGUGUGUGUGUGUGUGUGUGUGUGUGUGUGUGUGUGUGUGUGUGUGUGUGUGUGUGUGUUUGUUGAUAGUAGGUGUGUGUCAUUUGCUCAAACUAAAGUCUGUCUGAUGUUGUUGCUCUUUUUAGCCCCUGAAAAGGAAGGUGGCAAGACAGGAAGAAAAGAAGAAAAAGAAGAGGUUCUGGAAAUUCUGAACUACUGAACUGAUGUCAUUUCCUGUCAUUAAAUAAGCAAGCCAGGAGCACUCUAAUCAUCCAGGACAAUUAGGGCAGCAUCCUGCCUUACCCUAUCCCUAGAACCAUUGAUUUGGACACUUCCCCCAUCACCCUAACACCCCCCCCCCCCCCCCCCCCCCAAACAAACAAACAAAAAACCCUGCCCAUAACCCCCACCACUGCCAAAGAUUCAGACAGGAAGUAAAGGAGGAGGAAGAAUUUGAAUGUGUCACAUAUACUUACAACACAUCUGGGUUGUUAUGUGGACCUAAUGAGCAAACACAUUAACAGCCAGUUAAAAAAAAACAAACUAAAAUAUCUUUUAAAAUAACGGGGAGAUAUGAGGUAAAGUACAGAAACGCGAAAUAGUACAUAUGUAAAUAACACCAAAAAUGGCCAUAACUCACCAGCCUUUAACUUUCUCUCUUUUUUUUAUUGCAUUCUAUGUAUCGAAAGCAUGCUUGAACACACACCAGCAGUAGUUGAGUCUAUAUCCACAUUCAAUUCCAUGUAGCAUGACAAACAUUAAUGUGCUGCAGUAGUAUGACACAUAAAAAGCAUUUUAUAACCAGAUUAUAGGCAUUUUAUAAAGAGAUUGUAACAUGUUGUAUACAUUCCCAAGCAGAUCAGAUGUCAGGACAAAUUGGGCCUGCAUAAUAUCUUUCAUAUUUUGGUUUAACUAGUAGCUUUAAUCCUGACAUAUAAAACUUUGACAGGACAUUAAUGGAAUGGCUAAUGGCUCGGGUAAUUUCUAUGUUCAACUCUUGCAGUUCAUUAAUGUGAAUUCAAAUUGACGUGGUUGUUUUUAACAGCCUCCCUUUUCAGCAGUAAUUAAAUCAUAUUUACUUUGCUCCACAGCAUAACGCCAGUGUGAAUACUGCUUAAAGUUUUUCAACCAGGGUCAUUUUUGGAAAUUCUGUUCAAUCUGGAAAACAUUUAAGAAGCUUAGAGACACUCGGUCUCAUCAUCCUUUUACAUCAUGUGGUCUGGCUACCAGACUUGUGCUUUAACCUCAGGUUCACUGGACAAGAAGUGACUCUUUUUGCUGCGUAAUUAAGGGGUGUGUGUUAUGCUGUGCUUGCUUUAAUAUGUGCACUGACUGACAAAAAAUGUUUAAUGUAAAAUGGUUUGAGACACUGCAACAGUUUGCAACGAUGCCUUUUUUUUAUGCUUACUCUAUACGCCAGGUCCUCACUUUACUGUCUGCUGUCUAAGUCAUUUUAUUUAAUUGCAGUGUUUUUUUCUUUUUCUUUUUGGAUGUUCAUACUGUUUCGAUUAAAAAGUGAAAAUUGAUAUCUCAAUGUGUUUUGUGCCUCAGUAAGCUUUCUGACAUGCGUGAGAUCGAGCAUCUCUGUAAUGAUGUUUUUGUGAAAGUUGUCAGGUAACAGUGUACAUGCCAGUGUACAAUCAAUAACACGCUACAAUUAUUACCGUUAUUAUGCUAAUCCUCACUGGUAACACGUCAUAACCAGCUCAUUCAUUUCGCUGUCCCACUCUCUCUGUACCUACGUGGUACCUACCUAGAUUUGGUCAGUUAAGUAAUGUGAGGCACAUAACACUGGCACUUGUGUGUGCGCGUUUCCAUGUGGU
ensembl:lncRNA